CGCCGAGGGUCAUGUGACACCAAAGCUGUCAGUGAUGUGGCUAAAACGAGCGUCAGCUGGCAGGAGCAGAAAAGAUACACUUCCACAGGUCAAGCGGAUCAGCCUGUGGUUAAUGAGCCGCUUCAGAGGAAGACGUCAUCAGCCUCAUCGACAGGAGCUCGCCGGCCAACACAUGGCAGUCGAUUCUUUCAGAGAACCCGGAACAGACUGAGAAGCCACUGUGCCAUUCAGUUAAAUGCUAUCACUUCAGUUUUGGUAAG